rnacentral:rRNA from 1 species
UACGUAGGGGGCGAGCGUUGUCCGGAUUUAUUGGGCGUAAAGAGCUCGUAGGCGGUUCCGUAAGUCGGGUGUGAAAAAUCUGGGCUCAACCCAGUGGAGCACCCGAUACUGCGGUGACUCGAGUCCGGUAGGGGAGUGUGGAAUUCCUGGUGUAGCGGUGAAAUGCGUAGAUAUCGGAAGGAACACCAGUGGCGAAGGCGGCUACCUGGACUGAGACUGACACUGAGGCGCGAAAGCGUGGGUAGCAAACAGG